rnacentral:rRNA from 1 species
GAUGAACGCUAGCUACAGGCUUAACACAUGACAAGUCGAGGGAACGACAUCGAAAGCUUGCUUUUGGUGGGCGUCGACCGGCNCGACGGGUGAGUAACGCGUAUCCAACCUGCCCACCACUUGGGGAUAACCUUGCGAAAGUAAGACUAAUACCCAAUGAUAUCCCACGAAGGCAUCCGAAUGGGAUUAAAGAUUUAUCGGUGAUGGAUGGGGAUGCGUCUGAUUAGCUUGUUGGCGGGGUAACGGCCCACCAAGGCUACGAUCAGUAGGGGUUCUGAGAGGAAGGUCCCCCACAUUGGAACUGAGACACGGUCCAAACUCCUACGGGAGGCAGCAGUGAGGAAUAUUGGUCAAUGGGCGAGAGCCUGAACCAGCCAAGUAGCGUGCAGGAUGACGGCCCUAUGGGUUGUAAACUGCUUUUAUAAGGGAAUAAAGUGGGUCUCGUGAGACUUUUUGCAUGUACCUUAUGAAUAAGGACCGGCUAAUUCCGUG